AUGGACGUGCCGACCGCCGGACAAGCCGCCGCUGUACCGCAGCGCAAGGCGUUGGAGUGGGAGGGCCGGGUGGUGUCCCCGGUGCCGACGGCGACGGCGGACGAGGCGUGGGCGCUGCUGUCGGACUUCCUGGCGUUCCACAAGUGGCACCCGCGCGUGGCGGUGUGCCGCCUGGCGUCCUCCGGCGCGGCGGCGCCCGGGUGCGUCCGCUACUGCGAGGGCACCCCGCCCGCCGACGGGACGCCCGCCGACUGGGCGCACGAGACGCUCCUCGAGCACGACCAGGCCCGCCGCUUCUUCCGCUACGAGAUGAACGACAACAACAUGGGCUUCGGCGCCUUCUUCGCCGCGUUCCGCGUCGUCCCCGCCGCGGCCGGCGGCUGCCUGCUGCGGUGGGAGUUCGAGUGCGAGCCCGUGCGGGGCACGCCCAAGGAGGCGCUCGAGGCGCGGCUGCAGGCCGGGCUCGACGGAAUGGCCGCACGCGUGCACGAGCACCUCAUGUCCGCGCGCGGGGCCGUCGCCGCCGCCGCGCCGCCGACCGCUGUGACUGCAGGGCUGGAGGCCGCCGAUGAGCUCAAGCUGGACAGCUCCAUCGCGGCCUGA
rnacentral:rRNA from 1 species